ensembl:lncRNA
UGAACCGUUAAUGCAGGAUUUUAAAAUGUUUUACAAGACGUGAGUGCACAAAAUUAGAAGAAAAAGUAAGAGUUCUCAAAAACCGUUUUUUGUCUAACAUCGCGUCAUAUUACGUCACGAGAGGGAGUCGUGUGCUGCACUCUGCUUUGAACUGGCGUGAGUCAGUGUGUUUUCGGUAGUUAUUUUUAUUUCAAUUUAUCAUCGUCAUGGUAAAUGAUUGUGUUUGUGGAGGUUGCACUGACUCCAGCCUGUCAGGACAUCGAGUCCACAGGUUUCCUAACAAGAAAUAGGAUGGUAUCUUCCGGGCCUGGGUGUGUUUGUGCGGGUGAAGAGACGGGACUUCACUAAUGCAUCUGCUUCGAGAAACGCAGUGGUGUGUAGUUUAGCGAUCACUUUACACCGGAGGAGGAUUAUCAUCCCGGCGAUAUGAUGCAGUUCAACAUGAGAUACCGAAGCAAGAAGCGAGUGAGACUCAGAGCUGACGCACACCAGCACCUUCAUCGGGUCCCGGCCCACCUGUGGCUCGGCCGCCGGAGGGAGACAUGAUGCUCACGGAUCCGUCAGAGAUGCUGCUCCACGAAAACGUCAACUGUGCACUGCAAGUCUUGUUUUUAAACAUUUGCUACCUACCAAAUCUGUGAACAUAAUUAUUUAAAUAAUGAGACACAACGAGAUGUGUAUAGGUUGUUGUAAACAUGGCCGUGGGAAGUAGGGGUGCUGCAUGUGCUGCAGCACCCCCGUUGGAAAAUGCAGACAUUACAGCACUCUCUGACAGAUGCAAAAAAAAAAAUAAAUACAUAAACGUAUUAAAACAUGUUUUAAAUCCUCCUGUUUGUUAUUAACCUAAGAAGUUUAUGCACGAGGAGGUUUUGAGCACAACUAAAUAAUUAUUGACCCUUUCGCACGUACGUACGAUCACACCGGUGUGAUCAGUCUAGGCUGGUCCCAGUGCAUGACGUGAUCAACUGCUAAAUUCAAAUGUGCUUUCACGUGUUGGCUGGCGUUGAGGAUAGGUUCAGAGCUGUCAUAUAUCACAACUUU